AUUGAACGCUGGCGGCAUGCUUUACACAUGCAAGUCGAACGGCAGCGCGGGCUUCGGCCUGGCGGCGAGUGGCGAACGGGUGAGUAAUGCAUCGGAACGUGCCCAGUAGUGGGGGAUAGCCCGGCGAAAGCCGGAUUAAUACCGCAUACGACCUGAGGGUGAAAGCGGGGGACCGGAAGGCCUCGCGCUAUUGGAGCGGCCGAUGUCGGGUUAGCUAGUUGGUGGGGUAAAGGCUUACCAAGGCGACGAUCCGUAGCUGGUCUGAGAGGACGACCAGCCACACUGGGACUGAGACACGGCCCAGACUCCUACGGGAGGCAGCAGUGGGGAAUUUUGGACAAUGGGGGCAACCCUGCUCCAGCCAUGCCGCGUGCGGGAAGAAGGCCUUCGGGUUGUAAACCGCUUUUGUUCGGGAAGAAAUCCUCUGGGCUAAUACCCCGGGGGGAUGACGGUACCGGAAGAAUAAGCACCGGCUAACUACGUG
rnacentral:rRNA from 1 species